GUUACAACAUGGCAGACAGCUGGAGCACCGACACGGGAGAAGCUGUCUAUCGUUCCCGGGAUGCUGUCAAAAACCUUACAAUUAAGAUUCGUAUUCAGAGAGUCACUUCCACAGCAGCCCUCUCCCAACACCUUCAGCAGCAGGUUUUGACUCAACAGGAGAGCGGAGACAUUGAGCUGGACACCCUCAACUCCGUCUCAAUCAGGUGUUAACACUGUUUUGAAACAGAAAGAUGUUAGAUGCUUCUUAGUUGAGUAGAUGUUAUUUUCGUGGCGGCUAGAUAUGGACCACAACAUCUUGGUUUUGUUUUCAUCCGGAGAGUUAGUGGUAGGCGGUCAGGAGAAGCUGUUCAGUCAGUGCCCUUAUAACAAAUAAGAAUUUACUGUUUAAGAUAGGUUGUUGCAUAGUAAGGUGUGUGUGUGUGCACAAUAUGAAGUGGUUUUGUUCCAGAGUGAGUCAGUAUGCCAGACUCCGCUGGAGAGACAAUACCACAGAGAUCAUGAUUCAGGAGCGGACCAGGGGCAGAUGGAACUGCAGGAUUUUCACCUACACCGAUUCUGACUGCGACACCAAUUGGGAAGGGGUGGUUUUUCAAAAGAAUCUCCAUUUCUGUAACAGUUCUGUAACCAAAGACUCUGGGAGACAGGAAGCAAGUAUAGGGGGAGGAUUUUAUAGGGGGAGCUGGAGCAAACGUGACAAUUUCAUUAUUCAAAACAAAGCAUUUACCUAUUUUCUGUCCAAAAGAAACGUUAGUGUUUUAAAGCUGUUUUUGAUAUCCUCACUACAGCACUCCCAGAGUAUGGUGACGCAGGUCAAGUCCUAUCCUACCUUACUGGCACAUAGGAAGGCCAAUGUCAGACACAGAUGACAGGACAGACGCCCAGUGUAGGUCCCUGUUACUUACCAAAGUUAAUUAUUAUCAAAGUGAAUGUAAUUGAAGCAGCAGUGAUGCGUCGUGCUGCUUUGAAGACAAACAGUGUACCGGUAUGUUCACAUUACACCAUACCCUUGUAUGCAAAAUGUGUUUGUGGUAUUAUGUUGGUCUGCAGUGGCAGCACCAUCCCCAAGUCCAGGCUGAUUACCUGGGACCCCUUGGAGGACUUUGUGAAGACCAGCCACAUGGUCAACACACCUGUACAGACCAUGCACAUCAUGGGGGACCUGGGACCAGCGGGCAAACCCUGGUUAAAAGGAGAAGGAAUGCUUGUGCAUGGUAAGAGCAGAUGCAAAUGGAGUGGUUACCAUCAAACCAGAGUUCAACAAAGGCAAGGAGCACUACAGGCCAGUGACCCGCACCCGCUGAAGUCAAAAUGUUUUACCCCUAGCUCAAGUUGAGACGGAGGGGGAGAAGAGAGAGGUGGGGCAUCAGACCAGAGGAGACGGAACAGCAACAGUGCAUAUAUAGACCGUUAUGUACGUCAUAAAGACUACCUCAACAGCUUGGUUGGCCAGGACUGAAAUGAAUUUACAAUGUUGAAUGAUGCAUUGCCCAACAAACUGCAUAUAAUGGAUCUAAUUUACUGAAAGAAAGAUGGAUCGUAAUGAUGAGAGAAUCAAAAGAGCUUUAAGACGCCGCCCUUAUGUGUUGAAACCAGUUAGGGUGAACACCCCUGAUUCCGUGUUGUGGCCAACCGGCAAGGUGCACAGAAGGCCAAAGCCUUCUAAUUCAGUGCAGACCCCUCAGAUCCACAAAAGGCCUCCAAUCAUUGUGAGCUAUGGGCAGGACCAGACAUCUGGGGAUGGAUGGAGCAUCAAUCCAGAGCCUCUCAGCCAGGUCAUCUCUGCUGUUCCCAUACAACAGAUAGACCAAUCUGUUGAUUCAUAUGGCCAUUUUGGUUGGCUUGGUUGAAUUGACAAUUAUCCAUUCGAGAUGCUAAAGAAUCCUUUACUAUGGAAGAUAU